rnacentral:rRNA from 1 species
CCUACGGGGGGCUGCAGUGAGGAAUAUUGGUCAAUGGGCGUAAGCCUGAACCAGCCAUCCCGCGUGCAGGAAGAAGGCGCUAUGCGUCGUAAACUGCUUUUCCAUGGGAAGAAAACCCUCUACGUGUAGUGGCUUGCCGGUACCCUGGGAAUAAGCAUCGGCUAACUCCGUGCCAGCAGCCGCGGUAAUACGGAGGAUGCGAGCGUUAUCCGGAUUUAUUGGGUUUAAAGGGUGCGUAGACGGCAGUGGUGAAAGCCUGCAGCUUAACGGGAGACUUGCCAUUGAUACUGUUAGUCUUGAGUACGGUCAAGGUAGGCGGAAUGUGUAAUGUAGCGGUGAAAUGCUUAGAUAUUACACAGAACACCGAUUGCGAAGGCAGCUUACUGGGCCAUUACUGACGCUGAGGCACGAAAGCGUGGGGAGCGAACAGGAUUAGAUACCCGUGUAGUC